CAAACGGAGAGUUUGAUCCUGGCUCAGGACGAACGCUGGCGGCGUGCUUAACACAUGCAAGUCGAACGGGAGUACUUUGAAAGCUUGCUGAUGAGUACUUUAGUGGCGGACGGGUGAGUAACGCGUGAGGAGCUGUCUUAUGCAGGGGGACAACAGUUGGAAACGGCUGCUAAUACCCCAUAAGCCGAGAGGUAAAAGGAGCAAUCCGGCAGA
rnacentral:rRNA from 1 species